AUUUUCUUUUUUUUUUUUUUUUUCAGAAAGUGUCUGAUUUAAUUUCAUGUGCACUCUAUUAGACACAUGGUCUCACUUCCUGGGCACUUUAUUUAUUUCAACAUUUUCCUUGCAUAGCUGAUUUUGUAGACUUAUUAGGUUUUAAAUUUGGACCAGUUCUAUACUGUCCUUUCCUCUUUCAUAUUAACUUGCCAUUGUCAUUUAAUACCGAUUUUUAUAAUUCUUUAUGGCAUUUGAAUGGUAAUGUGUGCUGAUCAUUCUGCUUUGCAUGUCUUUUGAUCUCAUCCUUCAUGUUCACCAAAUGCUUCUCAUGUACAAAGAUGUUAAAAGAUGUGUUAUAGUUGUAACUGUCUGCUUAUUAUCCUGGCUGUUAAUUUCAUUGUGGAUCAUCAUUGUUAUUCUUGUUUAUAGAUUCAAUGAGUUUGGUACUGAUGGAGGGCCAGCAGCAAAAUCUUUUGCACCAAAAUUCAAAGUUUUCUCAGGGCACGUGUCAUCUCAUACUGGGUUUCAAGUGCCACCUGUUGAAGUGGGUGAUGCUUUACUUUUGUACUAGCAUUUUUUUCUUAUUAGUUUUUUUUUUAAUAUUGUAACUGUUGUUGUUAUUUACAGAUGAAGCGCGCAGUUGCUGCUGCGAUAGCCAUGAAGGGUGUUGGAAGCCUUCUUUUCAUCUUUGGCAGUUCGCUUGGUGCUCAUCUUCUGGUGUGUGGAUCAUAGUCUACCUGUUCUUAUUUUGAACUGGCAGUUCACCUUACUCAACCAAAUUAAGAGUUUUUUCUUCUUGUGCAGCUUCUGCACCAAGCAAUUGUUACUCCAAUAUUGUAUGACUUUUACAACUAUGAUGCUGACAAGAAAGAAUUUAAUCAGCUUUUCAUGAAGUUCACACAGAACUUGGCACUGUUUGGGGCAUUGCUUUUCUUCAUUGGCAUGAAGAACUCAAUUCCAAGGAGACAACUCAAGAAAAAGCCGCUGAAAUCAAAGACAAUGUGAGAAAGGAACUAUUGAAGUUAUGGAGAUUUAGCUUUAGACAGCUUCUUGAUGUUGAUUUUGCCGGAGAUUAGUUUAGUAUGGUUGUAACAGAUUUUCCUCUUUCAAAGGUUAGGGACCUAUAAUGGAGAAAAAAGGAGAGGUGUUUUAAUUGUUGAGAUUGUGCUGUUGUCAUGUACUUUGCCAUUUGUGGCCACAAUUGAGGUUUUAGAUGCGAAUUGCGAUCCUUUGAUAGUCCUCUUUUAAAUUUGCUGGUAUGUCCAAUUCGAUUACAAGGCUCUAAUUUGAAGCGUUGUCUAUUCACUCUUGCUGGGGUAAAAUAGGGAAUCUGAUGUUGAAAACAGUUACCAGUUGAGCUUUUGCUCUGCGGAUUCUUUAGUUUUGGUGUAAUGGUUUUAGGAACCGUGCGUUAUUGCUGUUUACCAUUUGCUGUAGUCACUUGUUGGGCCCAUUUGUAGCUCUCAAUCUCGCUGCUCCGUUUUCACAGCUCAUCUCUAGCUACUAUAUUUACAAGCUGAACUGCAAUCUCCAAUGAAUUGCAAGUAAUUCUGGCCGGUCAGUUUGUUAAUCUGUUGUUCUCUAUAACUAAUUUGCCGCCUUCCUCUGAAGUUGUUCAGCCCAUUUAAUUCAUUCAAGCCACCAACUAUUUUAAUGUUCUAAGAGAAGUCGAAUGCCGAAGUCUCGCUGCAUAUGGGUUCGCAUAAAGUGGCACAGGUACUGCUGCUGAUGUGGGAAAUCCAGCCAGUUGACUAGACAUUCCAUCCUACUUUGCUCUGUUUCAAUAGAGAAAGAUGGACUCCGAAUUUCACCCUGAUUACUGCCGAACAGGUGAAUUAAAAGCUUUUGAUGGUACAAAAGCUGGCGUCAAAGGACUUGUUGAUGCUGAAAGUACUCAAGUCCCACGCAUUCUCUAUCAGCCACCCAACGGCUUCGACAGAAUUUGGUUACAGCUGAUGCAAAGUUUACUUUUCCUGUCAUAGACAUUGGAGGUGCCGAGAUUGUUGGCGAAAUCCAGGACGCGUCAGGGACUUGGGGAUUUUUUCCAAGUGGUCAAUCAUGGGAAUCCUGCGAGUGUUGCUGGAUGGGGUACGUAGGUUUCAAAAAGGAUUUCUUCUGUCGGGAUUUUACUAGAGAGAUUGUGUACAAUAGCAAUUUUUAUUUGUGUAGCGCACCAGCAGCUAAUUGGAGCGAUUCCAUUUCUUUUGUCAUGGCCCUGAUCCUCCCAAACUAGAAGAGUUUCCAGCUGCUGGUAAGCCGCAGUUAGUAAGAUACUCAACUGCUGCAAUUGCUCUGUCUAAUUUCCUAACUUUCUCAAUUAGGAUUUCCUUAACUUGAUAAAUUAUCAUGUAGAGAUAUAAUAAUGUGGUAUCCAAAGAAGUAAAAAAAAUUGGGACAUCUUUUGUUUGAUUGGUUUGAGGAUCUUGAUGUGAAAUCGAAGUUCCAAAUCACUUGAAAGAGAUGUUCUAU
rnacentral:misc_RNA from 1 species